rnacentral:rRNA from 1 species
UACGUAGGGUGCAAGCGUUGUCCGGAAUUAUUGGGCGUAAAGAGCUCGUAGGCGGUCUGUCGCGUCGGCUGUGAAAACCCGGGGCUCAACCCCGGGCCUGCAGUCGAUACGGGCAGACUAGAGUGCGGUAGGGGAGACUGGAAUUCCUGGUGUAGCGGUGAAAUGCGCAGAUAUCAGGAGGAACACCGGUGGCGAAGGCGGGUCUCUGGGCCGUAACUGACGCUGAGGCACGAAAGUGUGGGGAUCAAACAGG